CAUAAGGAUACUAGAAAACAGUAAAGUUCUGCUCUGGCUCUCAUUUGGAGCUUGACUAAUUUUACAGCUGGGCUCCAAAGAGAUUGCAUCUGUGUGCAGCUGUCUGUCUGGGAGGAUUUUGAAGCUGCAUAAUGCUCAGGUUGCUCUCUGCGUGUGCUGGAUUUGGAGGCUGUAGCUGGGAGUGCUGUCUGGAGAACACGAGCUUGGAGCAAGGCUGGUUGGAUCUGGGAGGAUCCACCACCCUCAGAUCUUCUGCUCCUCCUGUGCCCCGCUACAUUAAACCACUUACGUAGAAAGUAAGCAGUCUGGGUUUGUCCUUACGACUUCGCAGGAACCAGUUGCUUAUUCCUGUUUUAAUUCUGCCAGCAAGUGUUUCAACGAAAGCAACAACAAACCACCCACUGCAGUUGCUACAUUUUGCUGUGGAGUUGUAAGUGAAAUCACAUCCUCAUUUUAGGUUAAUGGCCUGAUACAUGAAUGCUGAAAGCUGAGUUUCAUCCUGUGAAGUGCUGCAGCACUCAGAGGGAGGAGAGAGUCUGGAGACCACCUCCUUCACAGAAGUGAGCCCCUGGUGCCGCAGUGAUGUCUGUGUCUACAAAAGCUGAUGGUGUGGUGCUGCCUCUGACCAGAACAACAAGCCAGGCCCAGCUGGAGGAGAGAAGCACAUCUUUGAACCAACAUUCUCUUUUUUUCUCCCAGCACUGACUUCCAUGGGCGGCAAAGAGAAGCAUUUCUUCCUCACUUCGCAAGUGCUGUUUGAAACAUCCUCUAAAUGCUAAUUUCAUUUCACUUCCACAACAGUAGAAAUAAAUACAGCACAAAUCUUC